rnacentral:rRNA from 1 species
GAUGAACGCUGGCGGCGUGCCUAAUACAUGCAAGUCGAGCGAACAGACGAGGCGCUUGCUCCUCUGACGUUAGCGGCGGAGGGGUGAGAAACACGUGGAUAACCUACCUAUAAGACUGGGAUAACUUCGGGAAACCGGCGCUAAUACCGGAUAAUAUAUUGCACCGCAUUGUUCAUUAGUGAAAGACGGCUUUGCUGUAUCUUCUAGAUGCAUCUCCGCCGCAUUCGCUAGUUGGUAAGGUAAAGGCUUACGAAGGCAACGAUGCGUAGCCGACCUGAGAGGGUGAUCGGCCACACUGGAGCGGAGACACGGUCCAGACUCCUACGAGAGGCAGCAGUAGGGAAUCUUCCGCAAUGGGCGAAAGCCUGACGGAGCAACGCCGCGUGAGUGAUGAAGGUCUUCGGAUCGUAAAACUCUGUUAUUAGGGAAGAACAAAUGUGUAAGUAACUAUGCACGUCUUGACGGUACCUAAUCAGAAAGCCACGGCUAACUACGUG